UACGGAAGGCGCAGUGGGGAAUAUUGCACAAUGGGCGCAAGCCUGAUGCAGCCAUGCCGCGUGUAUGAAAAAGGCCUUCGGGUUGUAAAGUACUUUCAGUCGUGAGGAAGGUGUUAAGGUUAAUAACCUUAGCAAUUGACGUUAGCGACAGAAGAAGCACCGGCUAACUCCGUGCCAGCAGCCGCGGUAAUACGGAGGGUGCGAGCGUUAAUCGGAAUUACUGGGCGUAAAGGGCACGCAGGCGGUUAAUUAAGUUGGAUGUGAAAUCCCCGGGCUUAACCUGGGAAUGGCAUUCAAGCUGGUUAGCUAGAGUCUUGUAGAGGGGGUAGAAUUCCAUGUGUAGCGGUGAAAUGCGUAGAGAUGUGGAGGAAUACCGGUGGCGAAGGCGGCCCCUGGCGAAACGACGUGACGCGUCACUGUGCG
rnacentral:rRNA from 1 species